rnacentral:tRNA from 1 species
UCCCUGGUAGCUCAAAUGGUAAAGCGUCUGCCUACAAUGCAGGAGACCCAGGUUCAGUCCCUGGGUUGGGAA